rnacentral:rRNA from 1 species
UACGUAGGGACCGAGCGUUGUCCGGAAUCAUUGGGCGUAAAGAGCGUGUAGGCGGCUAUUUAAGUCCUGCGUGAAAUCCUGCGGCUCAACCGCAGACGGUCGUGGGAAACUGGAUGGCUAGAGUGCGGGAGAGGAGAGUGGAAUUCCCGGUGUAGCGGUGAAAUGCGCAGAUAUCGGGAAGAACACCCGUGACGAAGGCGGCUCUCUGGAACGCAACUGACGCUGAGACGCGAAAGCGUGGGGAGCAAACAGG